GCUCUGGCCAGAUUGAUGAACAGAGACACAUCAUAACUACUAAUAGUUCAUCAUGACGUUUACUAUUGUGGUUCUUCUAAUGACAAUGGGCUUGAAAGGUGUUCAUGGUCAGACACUGACUGAGUCUGGACCAGGGAUUAAAACGCCUGGAGAAUCCAACACACUGAGUUGUACCACCUCUGGGUUCACAUUCAGUAGCUACCAUAUGGCAUGGAUGAAACAGGCUCCUGGGAAAGGACUUGAGUUUGUUGCCUUUAUACACACUGGUGGAUCGAGUCCAUUCUAUUCUCAGUCAAUACAGGGUAGAUUCACCAUCUCCAGAGAUGACUCCAGCAGUAAGCUGUACCUACAGAUGAACAGUCUGAAGAGUGAGGACACAGCAUUGUAUUACUGUGCCCGGUACACACAGUGAGAGAGAGUGGUGAGAGAGCUGUACAAAAACCAC